GUCACAUUUAAAUAAAAAAUGAACUUCAUCCUCAACCUCACCUGAGGUGCACCUGAGACAAAUUCGGUUUUGUCGAAGAGUACCCUGGUAUCUACCAGAUUCAAUUUGCAAUUUGUGAGCAGAUAUUCUUAAUCUAGUAAUACAUUUCCUUUGCUCAAAAUGUCGAAUUAUUGACAAAUAAUUUUCAAAACCAUAGUUGCACUUGAAUGUUACAUAAGUUCGUAGUUUACCAUCUUU
rnacentral:lncRNA from 1 species